rnacentral:rRNA from 1 species
UGGGGAAUAUUGGACAAUGGGGGGAACCCUGAUCCAGCAAUGCCGCGUGUGUGAAGAAGGCCUGAGGGUUGUAAAGCACUUUCAGUGGGGAGGAGGGUUGUUUGGUUAAGAGCUGAAUGACUGGACGUUACCUACAGAAGAAGCACCGGCUAACUCCGUGCCAGCAGCCGCGGUAAUACGGAGGGUGCGAGCGUUAAUCGGAAUUACUGGGCGUAAAGGGUGCGUAGGUGGUUGUAUAAGUUAUCUGUGAAAUCCCUGGGCUUAACCUAGGAAGGUCAGAUAAGACUGUAUGACUCGAGUAUGGGAGAGGGUAGUGGAAUUUCCGGUGUAGCGGUGAAAUGCGUAGAGAUCGGAAGGAACACCAGUGGCGAAGGCGGCUACCUGGCCUAAUACUGACACUGAGGCACGAAAGCGUGGGGAGCAAACAG